rnacentral:rRNA from 1 species
GCAUAUCAAUAAGCGGAGGAAAAGAAACCAACAGGGAUUGCCCUAGUAACGGCGAGUGAAGCGGCAACAGCUCAAAUUUGAAAGCUGGCUCUCGGGCCCGCAUUGUAAUUUGCAGAGGAUGCUUCUGGCGACGCGCCUUCCGAGUUCCCUGGAACGGGACGCCAUAGAGGGUGAGAGCCCCGUCCGGUCGUGCGCCUAGCCUCUGUGAAGCUCCUUCGACGAGUCGAGUAGUUUGGGAAUGCUGCUCAAAAUGGGAGGUAUACGUCUUCUAAAGCUAAAUACCGGCCAGAGACCGAUAGCGCACAAGUAGAGUGAUCGAAAGAUGAAAAGCACUUUGAAAAGAGAGUUAAAAAGUACGUGAAAUUGUUGAAAGGGAAGCGCUCAUGACCAGACUUGGGCUGGCCCGAUCAUCCGGCGUUCUCGCCGGUGCACUCGGGCCGCUCAGGCCAGCAUCAGCUUUCGCCGGGGGAUAAAGGCGGCGGGAAUGUGGCUCCCUCGGGAGUGUUAUAGCCCGCCGUGCAAUACCCUGGUGGGGGCUGAGGUUCGCGCGUAUGCACGGAUGCUGGCGUAAUGGUUAUCAGCGACCCGUCUUGAAACACGGACCAAGGAGUCGUCUUCGUAUGCGAGUGUUCGGGUGUCAAACCCCUACGCGGAAUGAAAGUGAACGCUGGUGAGAGCUUCGGCGCAUCACCGACCGAUCCUGAUGUUCUCGGACGGAUUUGAGUAAGAGCAUACGGGGCCGGACCCGAAAGAAGGUGAACUAUGCCUGUAUAGGGUGAAGCCAGAGGAAACUCUGGUGGGAGGCUCGCAGCGGUUCUGACGUGCAAAUCGAUCGUCAAAUAUGGGCAUGGGGGCGAAAGACUAAUCGAACCUUCUAGUAGCUGGUUUCCGCCGAAG